GGAGAGAUGGCCGAGUGGUUGAAGGCGCACGCCUGGAAAGCGUGUAUGCGGGUAUUCCCCGCAUCGAGGGUUCGAAUCCCUCUCUCUCCGCCA
rnacentral:tRNA from 1 species